rnacentral:rRNA from 2 species
GAUGAACGCUGGCGGCGUGCCUAACACAUGCAAGUCGAACGGAGAAUUUACGCUGAUGAAGCUUCGGCAGAUUCUUGUAAAUUCUUAGUGGCGGACGGGUGAGUAACGCGUGGGCAACCUGCCUCAUACUGGGGGAUAACAGCUGGAAACGACUGUUAAUACCGCAUAAGCGCACGGUAUCGCAUGAUACAGUGUGAAAAACUCCGGUGGUAUGAGAUGGGCCCGCGUCAGAUUAGCCAGUUGGCAGGGUAACGGCCUACCAAAGCGACGAUCUGUAGCCGGCCUGAGAGGGCGGACGGCCACAUUGGGACUGAGACACGGCCCAAACUCCUACGGGAGGCAGCAGUGGGGGAUAUUGCACAAUGGAGGAAACUCUGAUGCAGCGACGCCGCGUGAGUGAAGAAGUAUUUCGGUAUGUAAAGCUCUAUCAGCAGGGAAGAAAGACUCGUAAGAGAGAUGACGGUAC